CCUACGGGAGGCAGCAGUGGGGAAUAUUGGGCAAUGGGCGCAAGCCUGACCCAGCAAUGCCGCGUGAAGGAAGAAGGCUUUCGGGUUGUAAACUUCUUUGACAGGGGAAGAGCAGAAGACGGUACCCUGAAAACAAGCCACGGCUAACUACGUGCCAGCAGCAGCGGUAAUACGUAGGUGGCAAGCGUUGUCCGAAUUAACUGGGUGUAAAGGGCGUGUAGCCGGGAAGGCAAGUCCGAUGUGAAAUCUGGAGGCUCAACCUCCAAAUUGCAUUUGAAACUGUUUGUCUUGAGUACUGGAGAGGCUGACGGAAUUCCUUGUGUAGCGGUGAAAUGCGUAGAUAUAAGGAGGAACACCAGUGGCGAAGGCGGUCUGCUGGACAGCAACUGACGGUGAGGCGCGAAAGCGUGGGGAGCAAACAGGAUUAGAUACCCCAGUAGUC
rnacentral:rRNA from 1 species